AUUCAUUGAACGGAUCAAACAUGGUGGACAAUGAAUGAGGCAAUUCGAAGACCAGAGCAAGUGUCCCCUAAAUCCAGUCCCCGGGGGUCAAGAUCACCUGCAUAUCCCCGAGGAGAUUCGACUGGAACUCUGAAGACGACAAUAAGCUUAGGGAGAGUUCCAUCAGUAAUACAUUCAGGUCCAUUUUAUCUCGUCAAAGACACGGGAACCGGGACACACAGCACACAUAGCAAUGAGGCAUCAGAAAUGACCGGCAGUAAUAACCUUAUGAUUCAUUAUGGGUUAGAGCAUGCAUACAGUAGGUUCUGUAAGAAGGAAGGAAAAGAAGAAUUAAGUUCCUUCCUGCCACACCUUCCAGGGUAUAUAGAUUCACCAGGCAUACAGGAUAGUAGCUCUCUUAGAUCAGUAGCGGAGAAUCCACCUAAAGCAAACAAAGAUUUACAGCCUCUGUCUGGUGGUGCUCUAUCAGGAUUUAGACUACAUCCAGGACCUAUUCCAGAACAGUACAGAUUCAUGAGUCAGAUGCCUAAAAAGAAACACAAACCGAAGAAAAGGAAAGAAGAGAGGUCUGGAGCUUUACAAGAUUCACAAGAUAAUUCUGUAGAAAGUAAGGAUGAUAAAGUGAAGAAGAAAGCCAAACAAGAUGCUGAACAGAAGAAAGAUAAAAAGAAAAAGAAAGACAAGAAGAAGAAAAAAAGGAUGAAAGAUAAAGAUGAUGACUCUCAGUCUUGAAGGAAAUGGUGGUGAAAAUUAUGGUGUUCUCUCAUUCAGAAGGCAGCUAAUGACAUCAUGGAUAUUUAAAGACAGCCAUUGAUGUAUUAUAUAUCAUACUUAUCAUUUGAUAUUGGUAGACCUUCAGAUAUGUCUCAGGUCCUAGGUCAGAUCAUAUUUUGUUCAUUCCAAACAACUGAAUAGGAUUUAUAAAUGACAUGGAUUGUUUAAGGUGGAAAACAUGUUGUUUUUGUUUAUAUUGCUAUCAAUGAUUACAGUCAGAAUUACCACCAUCAUCAUGAUCAUAUUGUAUCUUGUAAAUUUUGAAGCUGAAAAUGUUGUUUUUGAAUUUUAAUUCACCCUACUUGAAUUGUAUUAUAAGAUAGAGGUUUUAAGAUUAGAUAACAACUAUUUGUAUAAUUUUACCUUCUGUGGUGGCUUAUACUUUUUUUAAGCAGCACUGUAGGAAAAAUCACACUAUCUCUGCAUAUUGUUUCUAAUUAAAACUUUUAUUUUGAAACUGGAAAUUGAUAAACAUUUUCCUUGGUUUCAUAUAAACAUGGUGGUCGGCAUAUACAAAAUCCAAUUUUACAAUAAUUGCUUACUUUUGUUAUAUUCAAAUAGCUUAUCUUCAUCUCUGUUUAAGUCAAGUUUGUGGGGUUAAGUAGAUGAUUUAAAUUUCAAAUCGAGGAUUCUGGUUUACAAAGCCAAAUUUGUGACCAAAGGGAAGUAAUUCAAAAUUUGAAUUGCAAAUUCCAGAUUCUUUCACAACCAAUGUUGUAAUAUGAACACAACUUCAAUGUUUUUUUUAAUUUUCCACUGAGUAAUGAACAUUUUGAAUAAAUCUGACACCAUGAUUUUUGAAACAACAAGCAUUUCAAUUUUCUCUUGAGUUAUUUUUCAUAAGCCAUAGAUGAUAUGCCUAAGCGUCUUGGUGAAUUUUAAAGUGCUAACACAAACAGAUAUAAAAAGCUAUUUGAUAACUUGUAUCAAUAAAUUUAAAGGUAUUACUUGAAUUAUGUGCUCCAGAUGAACUUAAGUGCUUUACAAGAAGAAAAAUAAUGUUUUUAUGUGUUAUGUAUAUCAGCAAUAUACUUGUCACACAGUUUUAUGGGUUUCUUUCUGUUGUCUUGCAUUGUUUACUUAUUUCAUAUUAUUCUCAUAGAGGAGUUCUUUUAGAACAGCAGGUAAAAAUUUGUAACUGGCGUAGACUGUAGUAGUGGUUUUUGAUGACACAGCUUUUAAUAAUGUAAGUUGUAUAUUUAUAAGUCCAAAUCACACAAGAUGUACAUAAUUUAGAUGGAAUACUCAACAAUAAAUUCUAUGAUUAUAUUGAACUUUUUUGGUUGAUUUGUAUUUCUGAAAUUUUUCAGUCAUUUUAAAUUAAUCAGGAUUAAGCACUAAAUUUUUAGAUACAAAAUCAAAAGGACUUUCUGAAUAAUGAUGUUUACUUAUCAGUCGGAAUUAUUACUAGCUUUUGGUAAAUAACAAAACUAGCAAUAUUGUCAUAACCUCUACUCAUUCAUGUCAUAAUAACAAAAAAUACUCUUAUGAUAUCAUUACUGAAUUAUUGCAUGUUUUUGAUGUAGUUCAGUGAAAAGAAGAGUGCCAUUUAACACUUUCUUAAAUGGAAUACAUUUAAGGAAAAUUACUUUUUACAACUUGAGUCAACAGGAAGUUUUAAAAGCAUUGUGAAAUUAACUUUAUUAAAGCAACUUAUUAGCCAUUUUUUGUCACAGACUUAAAGCAAACAAAUUAAGUAUUAAAUUACCUUUUCUAGCAAUUAUAUAUUUUUCAGGGAAUCCGCUGGCUUAGAUUUAAUACAAUUAGUUAAUUUGUUAAAAUAAUUAGGUAUGAUUAUUUCCAAUGACACAUUAGCAUGAUUAAGGAUUAAAUUGUCCACACCUGUUGGGUAUCCCUUUCGUCAUGAAUUGAUAUUAACAUAAUGAAACAAGAUAUACAUUCGUAAGAAUUUUUUAUUUGACUCAUUCACUGGCUGUAUGAAUUUUAUUUAAAAGCUUGUUUUCCUGCAGAAUGUGAAGAAAGUCGUUGAUAGUGCAAUUAAUUUAUUGUUUUUAUUGUUGAUUAUAUUGAUGCUGUUCUAUUCUUGUAUUAUAAUUUAGAUUGUUCCUUUAAACAUACAAGGUAGGGGGAGGCUCCUCUAGUUGCACAUAGUUAUGGAGGGUUGUAUUCUACCUUUUAUCCAUUAUGAAUAUAGCCUGAUAUUUAAAAUAACAUGGUUCCCCUGGUUUUUUUUUGUUGUGUUAAAUUUGUAUGCUUUUUUUUAGAACAACCCUGGAUCAUGCUUUUAUCUUUGCAAAGUAUGAAUCAUUUUAUAGAAAAUUAUGAUCAUAAUUUCAUAAAUUACAUUUUUUUCUGAUUCAUUUUGAAUUUAGAUUUUUAAAUCAAUUAUAGAAUCAAUGUUUGAUAUUGAUAAACAUUCUUAAAGAUAUAAAAAAAAGUAACAGAAAGAAUAAAAAAAUGAAGAAAAUUCACCAGCUUCAAAAUGCUGUUGGUUUAAAAAGGAUUAAAAAAGAAGUUGUUAAACUAUUAAAAAUUUGUUGAACAUACAUAGAAAGAUAUAGAAUACAUGUACUGCAAAUCUAAGCAAACUUGAAAAUUGCGUGACAAAAGCCCAUCACAUGAAAAAAGUCAACAGCUAUUAUUUUCAUAUUCUAAGUGAAUUUAAAUAUUCUGUAUUUAUGAUGAGUAUGCAAAGAGAUCUACAUAGUAUUUUGAUUGUUAUUUUUGUUUUGUAAAAAGUGCUGUGUAUUUUUUGUACAUAAUGGAUUAAAUGAAUUACAUAAA